GUUUAUUACUUAGUAAACUUUCAUGUAAAGAUCAAAUUUGGCAAUAGGCAGCCCAGUUUCAAUGAGCAGCAUAGUUGCAGUACCUUUUUUGACCAUUUCCUGCACAGUGUCCCUUUAAGGAAUAUUGAAAUCAUAUAAACACCAUUUGAACUGUCCGCGUAUUAACUUUUAAACAAAUAAUCUAAACAAAUAAUGUAGGCCUAUGCACUUGAAAAAAGCUCAUAAUAUUAACUGACAUGCACAUCACACUCCAGAACAGUAGGUGGCAGUAAGAAAUGAAUCGCCUAUUGUCGAAACACAUUUUCAUUGACAGUAUUUAUCUUCUUCCUGCUGGCACCAAGUUGUUACCUUAUUGGUACAGAAAUAUUUUACAUAAAUCAAAACUAUAUAUGUGAAAUUCAUGCUGUAAUUCAGGUGGGAUAACAAACAAAAACAAAAAAAAAAUCACCAAAGGGUAAAACCGGAAAUGGAAUUACGUCACUUCCUGUUCGUCAGUUGGUCUCCUGCUUUGAAAUUGAGGCAAUCGUUUUCAGCCGGAUGGUUACCCCCUGUGCUAGUGGAAGAUGUGACUUUGAAGACAGUCAUUGUAAAAGGUGCAAAAGGCUUGUCUAAGAUAAGCUGGCAGUCUACACCGCAUGGCCUGCGUUGCUGACAUUAAGUGAAGUUAAUGCAGAGUUCCUGUGCCUGACAGAUACUUGAGGAAGCAUCUUGGAGGUUGUCAAGGAGAAGGGAGGCGUUGCCAGAAGGAAGGACUGGAGUGGCGAAGUGAUCCAAAGGCAGACUGCACAUCUACGUAUAUGGUUUGCAAGGAACAUCCCGUGCCAGAGACUGUGAUACAAGGCAUGGAGCUGUACAGUGAACUCGGAGCAUCUCUUGUGCAUGUGUGAUGCUGUUUGGACUCGGUUACCGGUAUAUACCCUCAAUCUCAACUCUGUGGAUUUGGAUUUACAAUUUUAAGUAUCCAGAUGAACUGAAAUAUAUGUUCUGGUGAAUUUGGAAAAUAUGCCCAAAAGGUCCAAUCACUAUAAACUACAGUAAAUAUGUUGGACACUGGCAAUCUCAGGUUCUAAGCCAUUGUAUAAAAGGACAAUCCAUCGCAUUUCUAUUAAUACUUUUGUGUGCUGUUCUCUGAUCUGAGUUGAUGAUUUUUUUGUCCUUUUUUGUCUUUUGUCAGCAUGGCAUUGAGUAUCAUUGAGGGGCUUUUUUCUAAACAUUGGCUAUGCAGAUUAAAAGAUGAGCACUAUAAGGAAAGGCGUAAUAACGCCUCAGUAGCACUUCAUGGACACAUUGAUAUCAUAAUUAAAAACAUUUCUCUCUCCCUCUCCUCCCCCACUUUGAGAAAGAAUCAAAGAGUCAAAAGUGCUCCUGCGGGCAGUUGGUUAAUUCUAAAAUGUCCAUUCACAAAUAACAUCUUUUUCAUGAAUGUCUAAGUAAAUAAGUGAGUAAAUAGACACAUACUGUUCUGAUGAGAGUAUGCUUUUCGGCCAAAGAUAUCUGACUGCAUAUCUGACCCAAGGGAUUAUGACAUUACUUAGAAUUUGAUGGUGGUUGUAAGCAUUCAUGAAAAAGAUGACAUUUCUGAUCAGGUUUUCUGUUUAAUUUCUGUUUAAUCACACGAUUAUAUUGUCUAGA